UGGGGAAUUUUGGACAAUGGGGGAAACCCUGAUCCAGCCAUCCCGCGCGUGCGAUGAAGGCCUUCGGGUUGUAAAGCACUUUUGGCAGGAAAGAAACGUCAUGGGUUAAUACCCCGUGAAACUGACGGUACCUGCAGAAUAAGCACCGGCUAACUACGUGUCAGCAGCCGCGGUAAUACGUAGGGUGCAAGCGUUAAUCGGAAUUACUGGGCGUAAAGCGUGCGCUGGCGGUUCGGGAAGAAAGAUGUGAAAUCCCAGAGCUCAACUUUGGAACUGCAUUUUUAACUACCGGGCUAGAGUGUGUCAGAGGGAAGUGGAAUUCCGCGUGUAGCAGUGAAAUGCGUAGAUAUGCGGAAGAACACCGAUGGCGAAGGCAGCCUCCUGAGAUAACACUGACGCUCAUGCACGAAAGCGUGGGGAGCAAACAGG
rnacentral:rRNA from 1 species